rnacentral:tRNA from 1 species
UAUCCAGGGGACAGCGGGCCAGGAUGCGCCGUCUGGCGCACGGCGGCGUAGGUCACCCGGCCUGCGCGGGAUCAGCCCCGCCUGGGUGA